rnacentral:rRNA from 1 species
AACGUAGGACGCAAGCGUUAUCCGGAGUUACUGGGCGUAAAGCGCGAGCAGGCGGCUCGACAAGUUCGAUGUGAAAGCGCCCGGCUCAACCGGGCGAGGCCAUUGGAAACUAUCGAGCUGGAGGGCAGUAGAGGCAGGCGGAAUUCACGGUGUAGCAGUGAAAUGCGUAGAUAUCGUGAGGAACACCAGAGGCGAAGGCGGCUACCUGGACAAUUGCUGACGCUCAGGCACGAAAGCGUGGGGAGCAAAAGGG